rnacentral:pre_miRNA from 2 species
UCUUAUGAUGGGCAAAGAAAGUGGUUUCUUGGGAUGGAAACUACUCCUGUUGUAGAUGCUGUGAA